UACGGUUCCUAUUUAGUGUUUAGUUAGUUUGAAGUGGUAUGUUGGAUAUUAGUUAGUCUGAAGUCGUAUGCUGAAUUGUAGUCGUAUGCUAGUUACUUCGAAGCUUUAGUUUCACAACAGACUAAUCUACUAUUCAACUCCAUCAAUCAAGUCAUAGAUAACAUCUUGCUUCAUCUCAAGUAUUUUUCUCCAAUUGAGCAGCUCUUGCUGGAAUCAAAAUGAUCUACUUCGUGAGCAACUUAAAUUGUUAGCUAAAGAUUCACAACUAAAGCAUUAUGGCUGAUCGUGCCAAGCUAAGUGACGGUUUACAUUAUUAUGAAGUGUAUGGAGUUGAUUGCAAAGAACCAUGGCGUGGUCCCAUUUUCAGGAUUCCAAUUACUAUAACAAAACCUAUGACUAUGAAUAUUCGUCCUCCGAUCAUUUCAGCCAGACUGUGGUUACUCAAAUAAAUCAUGACAUUGGAGCAUCCGGUAUAAUAAGCCAACAAUGCAAGACAAUGAUAGAACAAUACGGGGAAGUCAUUCUGGAAAUGUUGUUAUCUCAGGCAACAGGGAAGAUAUGCUCUCAAAUUGGAUUUUGUACCUUUGACGGGACUCGAGGUGUUAGCAAUUUGACACUCAUGGAAAGUUGAUGCAAAAGGUGAACACUAGGCUUUCAAUCGUACUUAUGGAGAAGAUGAACUCAUGAGCGUCAUUCAAACAUUAUAUUUCAUGAAAUUGACAUCAAUAAAGAGGAUGUAAUGCUUCAUGGGAGUGAAGCGCCUCGAUGCUCAAGCUCUAUUGGCAAUUGAGAAACUUGCCCCUGUUGCCAUUUUAAAUAAGGUUAGAGUACCAAUUGAUGCUAAACUUAGCACUCCCACUGUGGAUCGGGACAAACUGCCAGGAAAACAAACACUGGCACUGACAUUAUCUUACAAAUUCAAAUUGGAGGAUGUAUAAGAAUUAAAGCCUCAAGUUCCAUUGCUUAAUAAUCGCAUAUAUGACAAUCAAUUUGAGUCCAAGUUCUAUAUUAUCUCAAACACUAGCAAGGUAAUUUGGAUAUAUAGUUUUGAUGUUGAAAUUUUACAAAUCUUACCAUUAUUCGAGAUGUAGAUCUUACAGGUUUGCCACUUGCAAAGACCAAUCAAGUGGGAGAGUGUGGUAACAUUUUCUUCUCUAUUUUUAUCCUAUUUGUAUUUUGCGUUUCUCUAAUUAUGUUUCUCUCUUUGUAUUUGUGUUUUGUGUUUCUCUCUUUAUAUUUAUAUUUCUCUCUUUGUAUUUGUGUUUUGUGUUUCUCUCUUUGUAUUUGUAUUUUGUGUUUGGUGUUUCUCUUUUUUUGUUUUUUGAAUUCGGUGUUUCUCUCUUUGUAUUUGUGUUUUGUGUUUGGUGUUUCACUCUUUGUAUUUGUGUUUGGUGUUUCUCUCUUUGUAUUUGUCUUUGGUGUUUCUCUCUUUAUAUUUGUGUUUGGUGUUUGGUAUUUCUCUCUUUGUAUUUGUGUUUUGUGUUUGGUGUUUCUCUUUUUGUAUUUGUGUUUGGUGUUUGGUAUUUCUCUCUUUGUAUUUGUGUUUUGUGUUUGGUGUUUCUCUUUUUGUAUUUGUGUUUUGUGUUUGGUGUUCUCUCUUUGUUUUUGUUUUUGUAUUUUAUGUUUUUCUAUGUGUUUUGUGUAUCUCUUAUUUGUGUUUCUUUAUGUAUUUGUGAACCACAGGUUUAUUUCUCUUUAUGAGUGUAUUUGUGUUUCUAUUUGUUCUUUGCAAGGAAUUCCAUUUGCAUGUUUGUCUUUUUUCGUUUGUCAAAAUGCUCGUGUUUAGAUUGUCAGUGAGAAGUCUCUGUUUCCUUCUUAUAAGAAGAGCUUCAGCAAUUGAAGCGUGGGAUUAUGGAAAAUCCUCAUAUGCCUGCCUGCAUCUGGUUACUUUGAAGCUUCAGGUUUACCCAUUAUAAUAAUUUUUGACUGUUUUUCUAUUAUUUAUCCCACUGUUUGCACCCCCACUGUUUGCACCCUUGGAUAACAAGUUAUGUAUUUUUUUUGGAUAUGAUAUGUCUGUUCGUAGCACUUCAUAAUAUCUAAUUUUCUUUGGAAUAGACUACUUAAAUCAUUUUGUGUUCCCUUCUAUAGUUUGUUGAAUGCUUGAAAAUAAAUGUGCAAGUCAUUGUUUUGGGAAUCUGUCAAGAUCUUGUGCUAUAUAAUUGAUCACAUAUUCUUCUAAAAUUUCGCCUCUUUUAACUCUUCUUCCGUCUUGCAUUAACUGUUCUAUUUGUGAAUGUUCCUUUGUUCAUAUUAAGAACUCAAUCUUAUUUCUGUCAUUGUUUGUUCUUUUUUGUUUUCACGUUUGAUAGAUUGCAUUUCAUAGAAUUGACAUCAAUAAAGAGGAUGUAAUCCUUGAUGGGACUGAAGCACCUCAAUGCUCAAGCUCUAUUGGCAACCGAAAAACUUGCCCCUGUUGCCAUUUUAAACAAAGUGAAGGGUAAUCGUUGAGUUACUAUGUUAUUGGGCUUUAAUUUAAUUCCUUGUGGGUAAAGUUAAGUUGUUUACUUUGAAUAUGUUCUUUAUAUAAUACUGGUGACUUCCCAUGUCCAAUUUGUAGGUUAUAGAGUACCAAUUGAUGCUAAACAAAGCACUCUCUCUAUGGUCCGGGGCAAACUACCUAGAAAACAAACAUUGGCACUAACAUUAUCGCGGGUUUACACUUCCUUUUAUGUCCUGUACUUUACUUUUUCCGUGAUUCAUUCAUUGGCUUCUUUUUUCCGAGUGUUCAUCUUUUAUAUCUUCAUUGAUUCUGCAGUUCCAAAUUUAAAUUGGAGGAUGCGUCAGAAAUAAAUCCUCUAGUUCCAUUGCUUAAUAAUCGCAUACAAUAAAUAGUCACAGUUUUAUAAGAACUCAGACUAACAAGGUAAUUUGGAUUUAUAGUUUUUGAAGUUGAAAUUUUAUAAAUCUUACUAUUACUCGAGAUAUAUAUCUUACAGGUUUGCCCCUUACAAUGACCAAGCAAGUGGGAGAGAGUGGCAACAAUUUCUUCUCUAUUUGUAUCCUAUUUGUGUUUUGCAUUUCUCUAAUUUUAUUUCUCCCUUUGAACGUAUUUGUGUUUUGUGUUUCUCUCUUUGUAUUUGUGUUUUGCAUUUUGUGCUUCUCUCUGUGUAAUUAUAGUUUGUGUUUCUCUCUUUGUAAUUGUAUUUUGUAUUUCUCUCUUUGUAUUUGUGUUUUAUAUUUGGUGUUUCUUUAUGUGUUUCUUUUUUUAUAUUUGUGUUUCGUGAUUGGUGUUCUCUUUGUAUUUGUGUUUCGUGGUUGGUGUUUCUCUUUUUAUAUUUGUGUUUCGUGGUUGGUGUUUCUCUUUUUAUAUUUGUGUUUUGUAUUUGGUGUUUCUCUAUGUAUUCUCUUUUUGUAUUUGUGUUUUGUAUUUGGUGUCUCUCGUUGUAUUUGUGUUUUAUGGUGGUGUUUCUCUUUUUAUAUUUGUGUUACGUGGUUGGUGUCUUUUAUAUUUGUAUUUCGUGGUUGGUGUUUCUCUCUUUAUAUUUGUGUAACGUGUUUGCAUUUUGUGUUAUGUGUUUUAUAUUUGUGUGCGAUGAUUGUUUCUUUUUAUGAGUGUAUGUGUUUCUAUUUGUGUUUUGCAAGGAAUUUUAUUUGUAUGGAGUUGUUUAUGCUUCAUCUAUAGUUUUAAUUUUUUUGCACAUCUGUUAUCCUAAAACUUGAUUGACCUUCUCAUCCUAAAUUUGGGGAUCUUUCCAUUUGCUGCAGUGUAAGACAUGCCUCAAGAGUGAAGAGACACUCAGCAUAUUGAAGUUUGCAGAUAUUAGAUGCAGUACAAGACAUUUAUAUUAAAAUCUUGUAACCCAACUAAAAGUAUAUUUCAGUUUAUUUGGUUAUAAAUUAGAAAUACACAUGUAUUGAUCAACUCACCAACUUUGGAUAAAUAUAUUUUUAUUUUUCAA